CAUACCUUUAAUCGCCGUACACGAUACGAUGACAGAUAUAGAUAAUUGCCAUGCACUGUUACGGAUAGAAUAGAGUGAGAAGUCGAAAAGAUAUACUGAAUUGAACCAUACUGUCGUUUUCUGAUUGUUCGCUAAAAUUGUUGCUCGGAAAGUAUAUUUUUUCAGUUAACAACUCCUAAGUUAAUACCACUUGAAUUUCAAAACCUAGAAUAGUUUUUUCUACAGAAUCUAUAGUGAAUUAUUAAGAUUCUAUAGUGGUUAUCAUGCCAGAAGAUCGUUCAUAGUUUCGUUCCUUUCGUUUCGAUACUUACGAGUUAUAACUAAGAACUAGAUUUGGCUAUACGACCCUAAUCGGUGUCAAUCGAUCGUUACGUAGAAAACCAAGGAAACGUACAAACGAAAAUUUUAAUCGUGUCCCGCAUAUUCGCGCCAUAAUAAACCGAUUGAAGAUUACGGAAAAGCGUUUCAUUCGUUGCAUGAGCAACAUUUUAAAAUUUUCGUUUUCCGUUUCGAUCGACGAUGCCCAGGCAAAAUCAGAUACCACGAGAAAGUAUGCUGCAGACGUGCUUGCUCUGCAAUCUUCCAGAUGACGACCAAAUGGUAUGCUGUGAUCGGUGUGACGAGUGGUUCCACUUCAACUGCGUCGGUGUCAACGAGGAUGUGGCCAAUCGUUCAUGGAGCUGCCCAGAAUGUCUGCUAAUGACGAACCCAGCUCCACAAUUGCCGCAAUCAUCGAUUCCCUCAGCAGGUGAGCCACCUAUACGUUCACCUCUGCCGUCACCACGAGUGCCAAGUUUGUCUUCUUAUCGAACGCCAACCCCACGCCCCCGAAACUCUGCAAUACAAGCUCCGCCGCCACUGCCAGUGUCCACCGAGAUUCCGCCAAGAUUACCGCCGGUGCCUUCCCCUCGUAUCCACACUCCUCGUCCACGAGCUCAAAGUACACAUAUAGCUGCUCCGUUAACGCUCCCAGAAUGUGCACAUCCUCCACGCAACUUACUUUCUCCCGUCAUCGAGGAUGGGGAAGCGAGGAACUUUUGCCAAGAUGUGUUGACAGAAGAGGAUCUUGUAAAUAGACUACCAUCAGACCUUCGGAUCCAGUUUUUGCAACAACAAGAAGCCAUUGAGCAGCGAUAUUUGCGGCGUAGGUUCCAGAUGUUGUUAGAGUCACCAAUGAACAUAAAUCAGUCCAAUGCGCCUCGUCCCAGUGUAAAUGCUUCAGCACCCGCAUAUCAUUCUUCGCCAGUGUGUGCCAAUCAAAUGCUUCCGUCGCCCACUCCAC